rnacentral:rRNA from 1 species
CUUACCAUGCAAGUCGAACGGUAACAGGUCUUCGGACGCUGACGAGUGGCGAACGGGUGAGUAAUACAUCGGAACGUGCCCAGUCGUGGGGGAUAACUACUCGAAAGAGUAGCUAAUACCGCAUACGAUCUGAGGAUGAAAGCGGGGGACCUUCGGGCCUCGCGCGAUUGGAGCGGCCGAUGGCAGAUUAGGUAGUUGGUGGGAUAAAAGCUUACCAAGCCGACGAUCUGUAGCUGGUCUGAGAGGACGACCAGCCACACUGGGACUGAGACACGGCCCAGACUCCUACGGGAGGCAGCAGUGGGGAAUUUUGGACAAUGGGCGAAAGCCUGAUCCAGCAAUGCCGCGUGCAGGAUGAAGGCCUUCGGGUUGUAAACUGCUUUUGUACGGAACGAAAAAGCUCCUUCUAAUACAGGGGGCCCAUGACGGUACCGUAAGAAUAAGCACCGGCUAACUACGUGCCAGCAGCCGCGGUAAU